AUUGAACCAAAUUUCCAUGAUUUGUAUCUGAAGUUCUUUGAUAAAGUAAACUCAAAAUCCUUGAACAAGGAAAUACUGAAAGCCACAUAUGAGAACUGCAAGGUCUUGUUAAGAUCAGACCUUAUCAAAUCUAGUUCCGAGGAGCGCUCCUUGCUAAAAACCUAGGCAGUUGGUUGGGAAAGUUCACCAUUGGUAGGAAUCAGGCACUAAGGGCUAAGGAGAUUGAUCCAAAAUCUCUUAUCGUGGAGGCAUAUGAGAAAGGAUUGAUGAUUGUGGUCAUACCAUUCACUUCAAAGAUCCUUGAACCUUGCCAGUCAAGUAUCGCAUAUCGACCUCCAAAUCCCUGGACCAUGGGAAUUCUAAGUCUACUUGCUGAAAUUUAUAAUCUUCCAAACCUCAAGAUGAAUCUGAAAUUUGAUAUUGAGGUGCUAUUUAAGAACCUUACUGUUGA